rnacentral:rRNA from 1 species
GCCUACGGGAGGCAGCAGUGGGGAAUAUUGGGCAAUGGGGGAAACCCUGACCCAGCGACGCCGCGUGAGGGAAGAAGGUUUUCGGAUUGUAAACCUCUGUCCUUGGUGACGAUAAUGACGGUAGCCAAGGAGGAAGCCACGGCUAACUACGUGCCAGCAGCCGCGGUAAUACGUAGGUGGCAAGCGUUAUCCGGAUUUACUGGGUGUAAAGGGCGAGUAGGCGGGAUUGCAAGUCAGAUGUGAAAACUAUGGGCUCAACCGAUAGAGUGCAUUUGAAACUGCAGUUCUUGAGUGAUGGAGAGGCA